rnacentral:rRNA from 1 species
AUGAACGCUGGCGGCGUGCCUAAUACAUGCAAGUCGAGCGAACGGACGAGAAGCUUGCUUUUCUGAUGUUAGCGGCGGACGGGUGAGUAACACGUGGAUAACCUACCUAUAAGACUGGGAUAACUUCGGGAAACCGGAGCUAAUACCGGAUAAUAUUUUGAACCGCAUGGUUCAAAAGUGAAAGACGGUCUUGCUGUCACUUAUAGAUGGAUCCGCGCUGCAUUAGCUAGUUGGUAAGGUAACGGCUUACCAAGGCAACGAUGCAUAGCCGACCUGAGAGGGUGAUCGGCCACACUGGAACUGAGACACGGUCCAGACUCCUACGGGAGGCAGCAGUAGGGAAUCUUCCGCAAUGGGCGAAAGCCUGACGGAGCAACGCCGCGUGAGUGAUGAAGGUCUUCGGAUCGUAAAACUCUGUUAUUAGGGUAGAACAUAUGUGUAAGUAACUGUGCACAUCUUGACGGUACCUAAUCAGAAAGCCACGGCUAACUACGUG